rnacentral:rRNA from 1 species
AGUGAACGCUGGCGGUAGGCCUAACACAUGCAAGUCGAACGGCAGCACAGUAAGAGCUUGCUCUUACGGGUGGCGAGUGGCGGACGGGUGAGGAAUACAUCGGAAUCUACUUUUUCGUGGGGGAUAACGUAGGGAAACUUACGCUAAUACCGCAUACGACCUACGGGUGAAAGCAGGGGAUCUUCGGACCUUGCGCGAUUGAAUGAGCCGAUUUCGGAUUAGCUAGUUGGCGGGGUAAAGGCCCACCAAGGCGACGAUCCGUAGCUGGUCUGAGAGGAUGAUCAGCCACACUGGAACUGAGACACAGUCCAGACUCCUACGGGAGGCAGCAGUGGGGAAUAUUGGACAAUGGGCGCAAGCCUGAUCCAGCCAUACCGCGUGGGUGAAGAAGGCCUUCGGGUUGUAAAGCCCUUUUGUUGGGAAAGAAAAGCAGCAGGUUAAUACCCCGCUGUUCUGACGGUACCCAAAGAAUAAGCACCGGCUAACUUCGUG